GCAGAAAACCUGGGGAGUAUAAUAACUGAGGAUUUCAGCAUAGUUAAAGCAUUGAGCAACAGUUGUAUUUUGCUUAAGGAAGCUCACUGCAUACAAUUGUUCCCAAGGCAUAACAGCAGAUGUUAUUUGAUGAACACACUGGAGACAAGACAUGAGUCUUUGAGUAUGGCGUCGGAGAGGGGCAGCCCUAGCAGUUCCUGACCUGUACAUUUCCACAUUGGUGUCACAU